UCAGCACGGUUGAGGGACUGGGAGUGAGGCAAAGAGGCCACAGAUCCUAAUUACUUCCUGGCCUCCAUCAGAAAAAGGUAAGGUGGGUGGGACGUCUCAGCUGUGUUUCGGCACAGAAGGACCCAUAGAUACCCUAAGUGCUCGGCACUCUUCACCUUCCCUUCAGUGAUGGUUAGUCUUGGUUGUCAGCAUGAAGGGAGAUAGAAUCAACCACAAGGCAUGCUUCUGGGUGGCGCUGUGAGCAAGGGCAUUUUCAGGAAGGAGCUACUGAGGGAGAACCAUGCCCUCACAGAGGGCAGCACCUCUGGGAGGCAUCCUACAAACAAAGAGGUCUUAGAAAGAAUUAGUGCUGCUUGCUUGCUUGCCUCUCUCGUUGACGACUACAUCUUAUCCUGUGACGACUCCAACUCUUCAGCCUUCCAACGUGGACUGAAGACCAGCGGCUCUCUAAGACUCCUCCAGGCUUUCAUUACCAGAUAGGGACUACUGAGGUAUUUAGCUUUGUGGACGGAGAAACUCUUGGGUUACCAGUCUAUCUGGUGUCUAGACAACUGUUGUUGAACUAGCCAGCCCUCUCAGUUGUAAGACUAGUUCUAGUAAAUUCCAUUUUGUAAUAUAAGGACAUUCUGCUGGUUCUGUUCUUUGCUGAUGUUCCCUUCCUAGGCCAUUUCCUCAAAUGCACUCCAUGUGACAGAAGUGGGGGAAAGGUCACAAAAUUGAGCACUUCAGAGCCAUCUUCCCGAGAGAACCAAAUGAGAGGCUCUCUGCACUUUGUUUGGCUUUUUGGGAUCAAGGGAGACACAAACAUAAUGGCCUUCCAGGAAGAAGCAUGCGGUAUGAACUGUGCUCAUCCAUUAAAAAGGUUUGAGAGAGCCUCAGAACACUUAGCUGCAGUGACUGGUGUGUUCCUCUUCUGAAGACAGUAAAGAGUGUAAAGAGGCAGCUCAGCAAGCUGCAAGAACACAAGUGGAUGAUGCACGCUCAAGUCACAGAUCAGGAAGUGGAAGUGGGAGGAGCCAGGGCCAGGCUGUACAACCUCUCGGCUGAGCCCCGGAGUCCCAUGGCCUUCAGCCACUUUCCUAAAUGCGGACCUUCAAAUGAGCAGCCAAGGGAGACCGAUGCUGGAACGGAGUUCACUGUCCUGUGCCGGGCCUUGCAGUGGCUUCACGUGAGAUGCGCUCUAGGGCUCGUGUUCGAAACCUGGUCCCCAGAGAGCAUGCUGCUUUGAGACGCUGUGUCAACCUCAAGCUUCUUCAACAUUUUCUACUUGCAACCUCUUUGCACCCAAGAAGUUUUCAGACAGCCCCAGGUAUAUAGGUAAACUGGCAUGUGAAUCAAACAUUAACUGGUAACUGUUAGGUCAAAAGAAACUCCAUUGUAUGCUAAGCUUCCUUCUUGUUACCCACCAGCCGUUUCUAUCUGAUUCUAGUCUCUAGAAGACAAAUUCCCAGUCUUAAUCCUACCGAUCUAUAAGAAGGCCACUACCACAGUUUAAAGCCAAAUUGGAAGCAAAUUUUAAUUAAAUGCUUGCCCAGAUGGAUAGGUUCUGGAGAGGUCCAUACUCAGGUUCCUGGGAAACAUGGGCUUAAGAAGGAAAACCCAUAAUUCACUGCAUUUCCCAUCAGGUUCAAUCAAGCACAAGUAUACACCCUGACAUAUUUCCUGCCUACGUAGCUGCUGUCCACACGUGAUCAAGCACAUCCGGUGCAGAAGGGUUAAACAAACUUGCAUAGGGGAGUGAACACACGUGGCUUGUUACCUGGCAACAACAGCCUCUAGCGUUUCAGGAACUGUCUGGCCCUGGGCAAGGGGCUUGCCGAUCAGAGGCAUUUGUGUUUCAUGGAUCUCUAAGGAAUAGUAAUUAAAACUUAAAAUGUAACGACUCUCACACCAGUAACCCUGACUCUGUGACCCCCCCACCCAAAAAUGUACAGUUGUGACUACUUGUUACAAUGUAAUUGAUUUCUUUUUCUUCUGUAACUUGCUUACACAGAUAGCCAAAGAUUGUUUUGAGUUGCCUUAAUCACACAACUUGUCAAAACAGAACAGUUUUCAGUUGCUUGCAUAGAUAUGAAAGGUGGUCAUGUAGUUUUUCUCCUUUAAAAGUUCUUCCUCCCACAGCCCUCCUUCAUGGAAAGCUCAGAUUGGCUCAGAGACUGCUCGUCCUGCUAGCAGUUAAUCAACAAAUUUUUUUAAUUAAAAUUAGAUUGAGUCUAUGGAGUUUUCCUAGGGGACAAGCUUCAUAAAAA